GAUGAACGCUGGCGGCGUGCUUAACACAUGCAAGUCGAACGGUGAGGCGCCUUCCUUGUUGGUCGGUGUGGAGGAGUGGAGGACUGGGGAGUAAGACGUUAGUAACCUUCUCCCUUCUUCUUGAUAACCGCAUGAAAGUGUGACUAAUACGGGAUAUUCUGGGUCUGUCGCUUGAUGGGUCUGGGAAGGAUUUUGUGUCGAUGGUGGAUGGGUUCGCGGCGUAUCAGCUUGUUGGUGAGGUGAUGGCCUACCAAGGCGGUGAGGGGUAGCCGGCCUGAGAGGGUGGACGGUCACACUGGGACUGAGCGACCGAGCAGACUCCUACAGGAGGCAGCAGUGGAGAAUAUUGCACAAUGGGAGCAAGGCUGAUGCAGCGACGCCGCGUGAGGGAUGGUGGCCGUCGGGUUGUGAACCUCUUUCGCCAGUGAAGCAGGCUUGCCUCGUUUGUGGGUGGGUUGACGGUAGCUGGAUAAGAAGCGCCGGCUAACUACGUG
rnacentral:rRNA from 1 species